rnacentral:misc_RNA from 1 species
GGCCUGAUGACUUUUCAUUCUUGCUCUUGAUUUGACCCUUCUCUGGUUUCACUUUCUUGGGAGGAUCAACAUUCUUUUCCUCUCCUUCCUUAGAAAGGGUUGAUAUAUCGCUUUCUGCCGGAAAAUUUGAUCCCUCAGCGUGUUCCCUUGUGGUCGAUUCGUUAGUUGCACUGCCACUCAAUUUGAUAUCAUUUUCGAUAUUUUCUUGCUGCAUUGUAGCUCCUGUGUCUUUGUUUAUGCCAUCACUCACAAUCACCUUAGGAACAAUUUCCUCUGGGGAGGCAGAAACAUGCUCAUGAAACCCAUUUUGAAGGGUCAGUUUGAGCCCAUCAGCAGGUACAAGGAUUUCCGAUUCCAUCAUUUGGUGUAAACUCGAAAACCGCGCAAACGAUCAGAACCUCAUGAAAAACAAAACCGCGUAAGCUUGGAUUUGAGUUCGCGAGAUUAAAGAAACAGCGGAAAAGAUCUGCAACAAAAGAGAAAGAGAUAAUGCCGGAGCAGAGAUCCACGGAUCCGAAACAAGAUCUA